UGGGGAAUAUUGGACAAUGGGGGCAACCCUGAUCCAGCAAUACCGCGUGUGUGAAGAAGGCCUUCGGGUUGUAAAGCACUUUGGACGGGGAAGAAGGGAUGGUGUUUAAGAGAUGCCAUUUUUGACGGUACCCGUAGAACAAGCACCGGCUAACUCUGUGCCAGCAGCCGCGGUAAUACAGAGGGUGCAAGCGUUAAUCGGAGUUACUGGGCGUAAAGGGCGCGUAGGCGGUCAUGUAAGUGAGAUGUGAAAUCCCCGGGCUUAACCUGGGAACUGCAUUUUAGACUGUAUGACUGGAGUACUGUAGAGGAUAGUGGAAUUUCCGGUGUAGCGGUGAAAUGCGUAGAGAUCGGAAGGAACACCAGUGGCGAAGGCGACUGUCUGGACAGAUACUGACGCUGAGGCGCGAAAGCGUGGGGAGCAAACAGG
rnacentral:rRNA from 1 species